rnacentral:rRNA from 1 species
AAAUUGAAGAGUUUGAUCAUGGCUCAGAUUGAACGCUGGCGGCAGGCCUAACACAUGCAAGUCGAACGGUAACAGGAAGCAGCUUGCUGCUUCGCUGACGAGUGGCGGACGGGUGAGUAAUGUCUGGGAAAACUGCCUGAUGGAGGGGGAUAACUACUGGAAACGGUGGCUAAUACCGCAUAACGUCGCAAGACCAAAGAGGGGGACCUUCGGGCCUCUUGCCAUCAGAUGUGCCCAGAU